UUGCCAGCCCGCUCAGAAACUCAAAGGAAUUGACGGGGGCCCGCACAAGCGGUGGAGUAUGUGGUUUAAUUCGAUGCAACGCGAAGAACCUUACCUGGUCUUGACAUCCCGGAGACCCUUAGGAAACUAGGGGGUGCUUCCAUCUGGAAGAAUCUGGAGACAGGUGCUGCAUGGCUGUCGUCAGCUCGUGUCGUGAGAUGUUGGGUUAAGUCCCGCAACGAGCGCAACCCUUGCCUUUAGUUGCCAGCAGUUCGGCUGGGCACUCUAAAGGGACUGCCGGUGUUAAACCGGAGGAAGGUGGGGAUGACGUCAAGUCCUCAUGGCCUUUAUGACCAGGGCUACACACGUACUACAAUGGCCGAUACAAAGGGCAGCGACACUGCGAGGUGAAGCCAAUCCCGUAAAAUCGGUCUCAGUCCGGAUUGGAGUCUGCAACUCGACUCCAUGAAGUUGGAAUCGCUAGUAAUCGUGGAUCAGCAUGCCACGGUGAAUACGUUCCCGGGCCUU
rnacentral:rRNA from 1 species